rnacentral:lncRNA from 1 species
UUCUUUCUCGGUACGUGCUACAGCCGAAGUUCGACACCCGUUCCUUGAAUUUCUGCAAGCUUCGUAGGAGAAGCUAUUUCAGAUACUACGCGCACGACCCCUCACUAUAUAGGUCGCUGCAUUGAUUGGGCUGCCGUAGAGCAAGUUCUGCUAGCUGAUGCCAUCCGCGCUCUCCUGUCCACAGACCCAUGGGAACGGUUCUUCGUUAUUAC